CUCAGACGCCCCCUCUUGAACGGGCUUUUCCCACUCCUCCCUUUCUAAAACGAAGAUGCGGCUGGGGGCCUUCCCCUCCAACGAGGGAUCGAGGGCCGCGGGGCGAGCACUGAGUCGGAUCCCUGGCUCUGGGGCCAGGCCAGGCCUUGGCCCGCUGAUAGACCUCGAAGAUGGCCAUCAUCUUUUCUCCUUACCUCAGUGUCCUUGGCUCGGGGCCCAGGGAACUGGCAGCCUGGUCUCCGGCAUCGGAUGGGACCGGGGGGCGGGGAGGGGGUGAAUGGGGCAGUGAUUUGAAGAGGGGUCGCGGAGGCUGGGCCUGAGGCGCGGCUGUCCUCACCGCUCCCGCAGACAGCGUGGACGAUGAAUUUGAAUUGUCCACCGUGUGUCACCGGCCUGAGGGUCUGGAGCAGCUGCAGGAGCAAACCAAAUUCACGCGCAAGGAGUUGCAGGUCCUGUACCGGGGCUUCAAGAACGAAUGUCCCAGCGGAAUUGUCAAUGAGGAGAACUUCAAGCAGAUUUACUCCCAGUUCUUUCCUCAAGGAGACUCCAGCACCUAUGCCACUUUUCUCUUCAAUGCCUUUGACACCAACCAUGAUGGCUCGGUCAGUUUUGAGGUGAGCUGGGCGAGGUGGGCCAGGGAAGCCUGUUUCCUGGAGUUCAGGGCCAGGAUCUCCAGGCCAAACCCAGAGAAGGAGUUGGGUGAAGAGUACCCGAGGACACAGCUCCCUCCUGCCUC
rnacentral:sRNA from 1 species